UUGACCUCGGAUCAGGUAGGGUUACCCGCUGAACU
rnacentral:rRNA from 1 species